CUCUCUAGCCGUGCCUCCAUAACUAUAGCUCAUAUUCGAAGUACAACUUGUAACCCCCAAAUUUGAAACAAACUCGCCUCGUUCAAGCACCAGAUCCAUCCCAUCUCAAUACAGCCAUCACUAUAAUCUUUGUCCUCAAUGCAAGGACUCUCGGAUCAAAAGUAGGAAACAACCCAAACCGCAUAUCUUAAGGUAGAAUGGAAGCAAGCGUGGAUUUCCAACUAGACAACUAAAGAAUCCAAGGAAGGCAAGUCAGACGUGGGGAAAAGUGGGAGUGUGCUGGCUGAGACCAUGUUCUAUGUUCCAGCUGAGAACCGAGAAAAGAAAGCUGCUUUGCAGCUGGAAAGAAAAAAAUAUAAAAAAGAAAGGAAGUAGCGGGAGAAGGGAGUAGAGGGGGGAGCUGCCCUUUGGCAGCUCGCAGACGUGGAGAACGGGAAGAGAGAGGACAGCAGUGGGCUGUCUUGGCAGCCCAGAGGGCAGUGAGCCUCGGGGAGAAAACAGAGAAGCAAAGCUGCCUUUGCAGCUGGGUAGAGAGCAAGCACAGAAAAACUGUGCGGAACGUCAGCAAGUCAGAGGAAGAGAGGGAGGUGAGGACAGCCAAGAGAGUUCAGAGGAAAGAACAUAUAAAAAACUGCUUUGCGCAGCGUGACAGGGGAGGGCAGUGAGCCUCGGGGAGGAAGACAGACAGAAGCAGCAAGCACUCUCCUCUCUCGGUUAAAUCUUUCCCACUUAUAUUUUACUUUUGGUUUAUUUGUGUUUUAAUAAUGUGUAACUAAUUUUAUUUUGGCUAGAGGUUAAUUCAAAGCCAUGAAUAUAUUU